GCUACUUUGCCAAAUUGGGUACUUUGUUUGUUUGAUGAAAUAUAGUUAUGUAGAUGGACCUUUGGAAUUGGAAGGCAAUUCGAGAUCCCUCUCAGUCUCUCUGUAUUCAAUGGAACCUCGCUUUGGAUGAUUGUAGAUAAGAGAUGGACAUAUAACAAGCUUCUGCGUGAAUCCAACCCCAUCAAAUCACCGUUGCAUUGCUACAAUAUCGUUAAUUACGAAUCUGGAGCCACUCAGAUUAUUGAAAAAGAUGGUGUUAGAUUCACGCACAAGCUCGCUAUAUGUCUUUUCUUCGCAAAACAAAGAUUUUUUUCUCCCAUGCUUUCUUUCACAGUGGAUGCCUUUAAUUCUUUUUGUUAUUUAUUUAUUUUUUUUAAUUUUUACAUUGUAUUUCUUUGUUUUGGCGCAUUUUUUCUGGGUGUCAAAAGAUCGGAAGGAAUUUUUAGAAUAAUUAAGAAAAUUGAUGGUUUCUAAUUUAGAGCAAGGUUCAGGGAUUCCGACUAAAGGUUACGAUUCGUUCAAGCGGGCAUGAUGAAACGAAAGGGGCACUCCGGAAAAUUUCAGGCUAGUUUGGUUCAAAGAUUCCAGAUUCCAGAGAACAAAUGAAACUGAUGGUGUGCUGAUCACAUGGGAAAACUUCUAAAACAGUCUGUUGUGUCACAAUUACCUUAUGUCUAUCGGUCAAUUCUGAAGCAAUCCAUAUCAAGUGAAGAGGAUGACAUGGGUAUAUGAAGAACUUCCAGCAAGCAACAUAGCUGGUGCUCAAUUCCAGCUUGACCUCAGCUUAGAAUAGAGGGACAAAAAAGGAGUCUUUUGGCAGCAAAAUUUGGCAAAUCAGCAGCAGUUUCUCCCAGCACUUAGAAGCUUUAGCUGUACUGGAAUGCUUAAAGUUCAUCAAGGAAAAGAAUCUUAAUAAUGUCAUAGUGGAAGGUGACUCAAAGCGUUUGUGUUCAAAUGUUUAUCGUCUUCCAACAAGGUUGCAUAGAAGGAAUCUUGUUUUACCAUCCAAGACAUUCACAAGAUGGUGCAAGAAUUAAAUGUGUUUCAGUUCAGUGCCAGAGAAGGAAACAGGGCAGCUCAUUUAUAGGUGUUCUACAACUUAAAUUGUUUUUCUAGUAGCUGGUUCCAAAAACAAAUCAAAAACCAUCUUGUUUGAAAAGAUGUUCUUGGUUGUGUGUA